CACUCUGGGACAAGCCCUGGAAACGGGGUCUAAUACCGGAUAAUACUCAGCCCCUCCUGGGGGUGGGUUGAAAGCUCCGGCGGUGAAGGAUGAGCCCGCGGCCUAUCAGCUUGUUGGUGGGGUAAUGGCCUACCAAGGCGACGACGGGUAGCCGGCCUGAGAGGGCGACCGGCCACACUGGGACUGAGACACGGCCCAGACUCCUACGGGAGGCAGCAGUGGGGAAUAUUGCACAAUGGGCGAAAGCCUGAUGCAGCGACGCCGCGUGAGGGAUGACGGCCUUCGGGUUGUAAACCUCUUUCAGCAGGGAAGAAGCGACCGGGUUCUCCCGGGUGUGACGGUACCUGCAGAAGAAGCGCCGGCUAACUACGUGCCAGCAGCCGCGGUAAUACGUAGGGCGCAAGCGUUGUCCGGAAUUAUUGGGCGUAAAGAGCUCGUAGGCGGCUUGUCACGUCGGGUGUGAAAGACCGGGGCUCAACUCCGGUUCUGCAUUCGAUACGGGCUAGCUAGAGUGUGGUAGGGGAGAUCGGAAUUCCUGGUGUAGCGGUGAAAUGCGCAGAUAUCAGGAGGAACACCGGUGGCGAAGGCGGAUCUCUGGGCCAUUACUGACGCUGAGGAGCGAAAGCGUGGGGAGCGAACAGGAUUAGAUACCCUGGUAGUCCACGCCGUAAACGUUGGGAACUAGGUGUUGGCGACAUUCCACGUCGUCGGUGCCGCAGCUAACGCAUUAAGUUCCCCGCCUGGGGAGUACGGCCGCAAGGCUAAAACUCAAAGGAAUUGACGGGG
rnacentral:rRNA from 1 species